rnacentral:rRNA from 1 species
AACGAACGCUGGCGGCGUGCCUAACACAUGCAAGUCGAGCGGGAAAGUUCCCUUCGGGGAGCGAGUACAGCGGCGAACGGGUGAGUAACACGUAGGCAACCUACCCCGGAGACCGGGAUAACCUGUCGAAAGGCGGGCUAAUACCGGAUAAGACCACGAGGGCCUCGGCCCUUGAGGUAAAAGGUGGCCUCUGCUUGCAAGCUAUCACUCCAGGAUGGGCCUGCGCGCCAUUAGCUAGUUGGUGAGGUAACGGCUCACCAAGGCGAAGAUGGCUAGCUGGUCUGAGAGGAUGGCCAGCCACACUGGGACUGAGAUACGGCCCAGACUCCUACGGGAGGCAGCAGUGGGGAAUCUUGCGCAAUGGGCGAAAGCCUGACGCAGCGACGCCGCGUGGGUGAUGAAGGCCUUC